rnacentral:rRNA from 1 species
UACGAAGGGGACUAGAGGUAUUCGGAAUUACUGGGAGUCAAGCGCACCCCGGCGGAUUUAUAAGUCAGGGGUGAAAUCCCGGGGCUCAACCUCGGAAUUGCCUUUGAUACUGUCUAUCUUGAGUCCGGGAGAGGUGAGUGGAAUUCCUAGUGUAGAGGUGAAAUUCGUAGAUAUUAGGAAGAACACCAGUGGCGAAGGCAUCUCACUGGCCCGGUACUUACGCUCAUGUGCGAAAGCGUGGCGAGCAAACAGG